ensembl:snRNA U6 U6 spliceosomal RNA
GUACUCACUUCAGCAGCACAUGUAUUAACAUUGGAAUGAUACAGAGAAAAUUUGCGUGGCCCCUGUGCGAAGAUGACAUGCAAAUAAAAUACCCAUAUUAUU